rnacentral:rRNA from 1 species
UGAAUACGAGACGCUAAGGCGUCGAAGUAGUGUAUGUCAUACUUCCAAGAAAAGCUUGCACUGUCAUAGAUAAAAAACGCCUGUACCAUAACCGACACAGGUGGGUAGGUAGAGUAUACUAAGGGGCGCGAGAUAACUCUCUCUAAGGAACUCGGCAAAAUAACUCCGUAACUUCGGGAGAAGGAGUGCCUUAUUAUUAAGGUUGCAAUAACAAGAUCCAAGCAACUGUUUAUCAAAAACACAGGUCUCCGCUAAGUCGUAAGACGAUGUAUGGGGGCUGACGCCUGCCCAGUGCCAGAAGGUCAAAGAAGCUGGUUAGCAUUUGCGAAGCUAGUAACUGAAGCCCUGGUGAACGGCGGCCGUAACGAUAACGGUCCUAAGGUAGCGAAAUUCCUUGUCGGGUAAGUUCCGACCCGCACGAAAGGCGUAAUGAUUUGGAUACUGUCUCGGAGAGGGGCUCGGUGAAAUAGACUUGUCUGUGAAGAUGCGGACUACCUGCACCAGGACAAAAGACCCUAUGAAGCUUUACUGUAACUUGAAAUUGAAAUUGGACUUUAUUCGCGCAGUAUAGGUGGGAGGCGUUGAUUAUAAUCUUGCGGGAUUAUUGGAGCCAUUAGUGAGAUACCACUCUUGUAAUGUUAGAUUUCUAACUUUGAAUCAUUAUCUGGUCAAAGAACAGUUUCAGGCGGGCAGUUUGACUGGGGCGGUCGCCUCCUAAACGGUAACGGAGGCGUACAAAGGUUUCCUCUGAACAGUUAGAAAUCGUAUCUAGAGUGUAAAGGCAUAAGGAAGCUUGACUGUGAGACCUACAAGUCGAGCAGGGACGAAAGUCGGUCUUAGUGAUCUGACGGUACUGAGUGGAAAGGCCGUCACUCAACGGAUAAAAGUUACUCUAGGAUAACAGGCUGAUCUCCCCCAAGAGUUCACAUCGACGGGGAGGUUUGGCACCUCGAUGUCGGCUCAUCGCAUCCUGGGGCGGUAGUACGUCCCAAGGGUUGGGCUGUUCGCCCAUGAAAGCGGUACGCGAGCUGGGUUCAGAACGUCGUGAGACAGUUCGGUCCAUAUCCGGUGUAGGCGUUAGAAUAUUGAGAGGAGCCUUCUUUAGUACGAGAGGACCGAGAAGGACAUACCUCUGGUGUACCAGUUAUCGUGCCAACGGUAGACGCUGGGUAGCUAUGUAUGGAGUGGAUAACCGCUGAAAGCAUCUAAGUGGGAAGCCCACCUCAAGAUAAGUAUUCUCAU